rnacentral:rRNA from 1 species
CUGGUUGAUCCUGCCAGAGGUUACUGCUAUCGGGGUCCGACUAAGCCAUGCGAGUCGAGAGGGUAAAGCCCUCGGCGUAUUGCUCAGUAACACGCGGAUAACCUGCCCUUGGGUCCGGGAUAACCCCGGGAAACUGGGACUAAUACCGGAUAGAUCAUAGACGCUGGAAUGCCCUAUGAUCCAAAACUCCGGUGCCCAAGGAUGGGUCUGCGGCCUAUCAGGUAGUAGUGGGUGUAACGUACCUACUAGCCUACGACGGGUAAGGGUUGUGAGAGCAAGAUCCCUGAGAUGGAUUCUGAGACAUGAAUCCAGGCCCUACGGGGUGCAGCAGGCGCGAAACCUUUACACUGCGGGAAACCGCGAUAAGGGGACCCCGAGUGCCAGCAUCUAAUGCUGGCUGUCCCGCUGUCCAAACAACAGCGGUUAGCAAGGGCCGGGCAAGACCGGUGCCAGCCGCCGCGGUAACACCGGCGGCCCGAGUGGUAGCCGUUAUUAUUGGGUUUAAAGGGCCCGUAGCCGGCCUAUUAAGUCUCUUGGGAAAUCUGGCGGCUUAAUCGUCAGGCGGCCAAGAGAUACUGGUAGGCUUGGGACCGGGAGAGGUGGGAGGUACUCCAGGGGUAGGGGUGAAAUCUCGUAAUCCUUGGGGGACCACCGAUGGCGAAGGCAUCCCACCAGAACGGGUCCGACGGUGAGGGACGAAAGCUGGGGGCACGAACCGGAUUAGAUACCCGGGUAGUCCCAGCUGUAAACGAUGCUCGCUAGGUGUCAGGUGCGGUGCGACCGCAUCUGGUGCCGCAGUGAAAACUUGAAGCGAGUCACCUGGGAAGUACGGUCGCAAGGCUGAAACUUAAAGGAAUUGGCGGGGGAGCACUACAACGGGUGGAGCCUGCGGUUCAAUUGGAUUCAACGCCGGG